UUAGUAGAGUUCUAGUUGGCCAGGCUGGUCUCCAACUCCUGACCUGAGGUGAUCCGCCUGCUUUGGCCUCCCAAACUGCUAGGAUUACAGACAUGAGCCAACAAGAUUGCUAUGGCUUCUGCUGAAAUGGAGGUGAUAUUCAAUAAUAAUGACAAAGUGAUUAUUUAAUUGCAAUUAUGGUAGUUGCCACAAAGUAAGAGUACAAUGUGCUAAGAGAACAUACCAUAGGAUUCCUGACGUGCUCAUGCCCUGGGGUCAGGAAAGGGCUUCUCGGUUAAGGCUACUUAACAAGACUUGAGGGAUGAGUAGGACUUGCCUGGGACAAGCAUUCAAUAGAGAGCAGCCAGGGCCCUGGGGCAGGAAGGCGUUUGAAAACAUCUCAAUUCAAUUCUUUCUAAACUAGAAAUGUGUAGCAUCUGGCCUUGGAUAGGUCUAAAAGUCGGGAAGAGAUAAAUGCCUUAAGAUCAACCCAUUGGUUUAAAACAACACUGUGCCGAUAAACGGAGAUAAAUUUUCAUCUGUUCACAUCAGCGCAGCGGCUCUCAACUAGGGACAGUUUUGCUCCCUACUCCAGCAACACCUGUCAACAUCCAGAGUUUGGUUAGGCCAGGGAGGCAGCUAAACAUCCCGCAAUGAAUGCCCAGGAGAGCUCCACAACAGAGUGGCCUGGCCCGAAAUGUCUCCAGUGCUGAGCGUGAGAAACCCUGCACUGGAGCCCUAAA